CAUGCGAUCGCGCGUCGACAUCGGACGCUAUGGCACACUCGUGCCUUCUGUGCCACCGAAGCCCCGAAGUGCCCAGACAUAUACCUUCACAUGUAAGUAAACGAAUGUAUCUCCUUGUUGAGAAUAUCACGCGAGUAGGCAGCUCUUAACACAAUCGUUUGAGAAGCGUCACAGUAGAGCAUUUUUCUACAUGCGGAACGGCGUUUUUAUUUGCCUUCAGUAGGAAAUUGCUGGACAGGCGGACCAGCGCACCGGAAUUGUACUGGCGAAGCCACAAGCAACUCAAAUAAUCUGUUUAAUUGUUGCACUUUGAACAAUCAUGCUUCUACAAAGGCCACAGCAGAAAAACAGCCUGAUGCCGAGUAUUUCUGUGCCACGAAGUAAUCAAGAGGCGAGUGCCUAAUGCGGACGAAAUCGAGUGCAUCGAGACUUAGAACGACAGAAAGCUGAGCUAGUUGCCACAGCAGCUCCCUCAUACAGACUCCGCAAGCCAAGAGGCCGUGGAGGCAAAUGCAGACAGCCAGCACACCUCGAACAGCCACCUUGACUGCGGGUGUGUCACCCUAGUCGCCAAGGAAACAUUUGAGGGAAAGCGACAGGCAAUGUGAACAGCCACUUCUCCAUGUAAACGAUACUCUCUCUCUCGGAUGACUCCUACGUUUGCCACGCCAGCACACUUGUGCACAAAGAUGCCGCGGAGGCACGUGCAGGUCAGAGGCAAGAAGCAGUGGCACUGGUGUCAACAUUCGCCCAAUUUCUUUUUCUUACACUGAGGCAGCCAGCACACCUCGAACAGCCACCUUAACUGCGGGUGUGUUAGUAGAUUCCUGUUGUACAUAUGCUCAUAAUAAACUUCAGUAAACUUGAACUUGAUAAUAAACUUGAAGGCAAAUGGGA